rnacentral:pre_miRNA from 1 species
UGAGGUCAGCUGCUUUGACAAUGUUGCACUACUGUACCAUCCAUUCUAGCAGUGCAAUAGUAUUGUCAUAGCAUUUGGCCCCCAGC